rnacentral:rRNA from 1 species
UGGGGAAUAUUGCACAAUGGGCGCAAGCCUGAUGCAGCCAUGCCGCGUGUAUGAAGAAGGCCUUCGGGUUGUAAAGUACUUUCAGCGGGGAGGAAGGGAGUAAAGUUAAUACCUUUGCUCAUUGACGUUACCCGCAGAAGAAGCACCGGCUAACUCCGUGCCAGCAGCCGCGGUAAUACGGAGGGUGCAAGCGUUAAUCGGAAUUACUGGGCGUAAAGCGCACGCAGGCGGUUUGUUAAGUCAGAUGUGAAAUCCCCGGGCUCAACCUGGGAACUACAUCUGAUACUGGCAAGCUUGAGUCUCGUAGAGGGGGGUAGAAUUCCAGGUGUAGCGGUGAAAUGCGUAGAGAUCGGGAGGAAUACCGGUGGCGAAGGCGGCCCCCUGGACGAAGACUGACGCUCAGGUGCGAAAGCGUGGGGAGCAAACAGG